rnacentral:rRNA from 1 species
UACGUAUGGUGCAAGCGUUAUCCGGAUUUACUGGGUGUAAAGGGAGCGUAGACGGAGAAGCAAGUCUGGAGUGAAAGCCCGGGGCUCAACCCCGGGACUGCUUUGGAAACUGUUUGUCUAGAGUGCCGGAGAGGUAAGCGGAAUUCCUAGUGUAGCGGUGAAAUGCGUAGAUAUUAGGAGGAACACCAGUGGCGAAGGCGGCUUACUGGACGGUAACUGACGUUGAGGCUCGAAAGCGUGGGGAGCAAACAGG